rnacentral:rRNA from 1 species
GUGGGGAAUAUUGGACAAUGGGCGCAAGCCUGAUCCAGCCAUGCCGCGUGAGUGAUGAAGGCCUUAGGGUUGUAAAGCUCUUUCAGUAGGGAAGAUAAUGACGGUACCUACAGAAGAAGCCCCGGCUAACUUCGUGCCAGCAGCCGCGGUAAUACGAAGGGGGCUAGCGUUGUUCGGAUUUACUGGGCGUAAAGCGCACGUAGGCGGAUUGGUCAGUUAGAGGUGAAAUCCCGAAGCUCAACUUCGGAACUGCCUUUAAUACUGCCAGUCUCGAGUCCGGAAGAGGUGAGUGGAACUCCUAGUGUAGAGGUGGAAUUCGUAGAUAUUAGGAAGAACACCAGUGGCGAAGGCGGCUCACUGGUCCGGUACUGACGCUGAGGUGCGAAAGCGUGGGGAGCAAACAGGAUUAGAUACCCCGGUAGUCC